rnacentral:rRNA from 1 species
UGAGGAAUAUUGGACAAUGGGCGCAAGCCUGAUCCAGCCAUGCCGCGUGAGUGAUGAAGGCCCUAGGGUUGUAAAGCUCUUUCAGUAGGGAAGAUAAUGACGGUACCUACAGAAGAAGCCCCGGCUAACUUCGUGCCAGCAGCCGCGGUAAUACGAAGGGGGCUAGCGUUGUUCGGAAUCACUGGGCGUAAAGCGCGCGUAGGCGGACUUUUAAGUCAGGGGUGAAAUCCCGAGGCUCAACCUCGGAACUGCCUUUGAUACUGGAAGUCUCGAGUCCGGAAGAGGUGAGUGGAAUUCCUAGUGUAGAGGUGAAAUUCGUAGAUAUUAGGAAGAACACCAGUGGCGAAGGCGGCUCACUGGUCCGGUACUGACGCUGAGGUGCGAAAGCGUGGGGAGCAAACAGGAUUAGAUACCCCCGUAGUCC